CCGCCUCCCCAGUAAUUCACUAUAUACCUGCCUGCUCCUUUAACGAAGAAAAUAUUUAUUUGUAUGGUGCACUUGAAUACAGCUCCUUAAAGAAAAUAUUUUGCUGGAGGGGAACAAAAUGCGAGAUGAUUCCCCCCGGGGAGGGGGGGGGGCUGAAAAUGGUUUCUUCCACUGCCGCGGAUCGUGCCAGGGACUGUUUCUCCGUCGCUGGCAGGCGAGAACUAUCGUCACUGCUCCCUCAGCCCGACCCCUCCUACCGAGCUUAUUUGCAUUGACGCAGCCGCCCGCCGCAGAAGGGGCAAGGACGCAAGCGCCGCUGGGCGUGGGAAAAAUGAAGCCGGUUGGGAGGAGAGAGACGUGGAGGCUACCUCUAGGGUCUGGAUAACAGCUCAGGUAACUCAAGUAAUACCAUUGUGACAUCAGAGAUAACUGAACCAGUCACCUCUACAGAUGUUGCAGAUACCAAAAAAGCAAGCACUGCAAACCCAGGAAAUUAAGGUUACUCUUUAAAGAAAUCCAAACAAGUGAAGAUGAAAGAGCUCUUUAUCAUCAGAAAUCUUCUCCUCAAAACAGAGAUUCAGCCCCACACAGAAAAUCUUGGGGCAGAGAGGAAAUGAUGAAAAUGAGUCCUGCAGCCUCACUGAGAGUAUCAAUACGAUAAUAAAAAGUGAAGGGAAGGAGAAAAUAUCUCUUCAGUCCCCUCUCAGUUCAUUGACUGAGAACCCAAUUUGAAUUUUGAACUAAAAUGGAAGAUGGAAAGGAAAAUUGCAAAAAGAGUCCUAUAGAGCAACGCCACAACCCACAAUCACUAGCCUAUACUUCUGAGACAAUGUUACAUGGAAACAAUUGAAAGGGUUGCUGUGACCGUACAACUUAUGUUUUUAAACCAUUCUUUCCUGUU